AAACGGUGUCGCACACACCCCCGG
rnacentral:piRNA from 1 species